rnacentral:rRNA from 1 species
CGUGCUUAACACAUGCAAGUCGUAACGAGAAAGUUCUCUUCGGAGGACGAGUAAAGUGGCGCACGGGUGAGUAACGCGUGAAUAAUCUACCCCUGAAUUUGGGAUAACAGUUCGAAAGGGCUGCUAAUACCGGAUAACAUUGUCUUUUUUACGGAUUAGACAAUCAAAGAGGGCCUCUCCUUGGAAGCUUUUGUUUGGGGAUGAGUUCGCGUCCCAUUAGUUAGUUGGUAAGGUAACGGCUUACCAAGACAUCGAUGGGUAGCUGGUCUGAGAGGAUGAUCAGCCACACUGGAACUGACACACGGUCCAGACUCCUACGGGAGGCAGCAGUGAGGAAUUUUGCGCAAUGGGCGAAAGCCUGACGCAGCAACGCCGCGUGAGUGAUGAAGGCUCUUGGGUCGUAAAGCUCUGUCAAGUGGGAAGAAACCUCUUGGAGUUAAUACCUUCAAGAAUUGACGGUACCACUGAAGGAAGCACCGGCUAACUCCGUG